rnacentral:rRNA from 1 species
GACGAACGCUGGCGGCGUGCCUAAUACAUGCAAGUAGGACGCAGUUGCGAACGGGUGAGUAACGCGUAGGUAACUACCUAUUAGAGGGGGAGAACUAUUGGAAACGAUAGCUAAUACCGCAUACUAGUAGAUGGAACUGCGUUGUAUUAGCUAGUAGGUAGGGUAAUGGCUUACCUAGGCAACGAUACAUAGCCGACCGUGUAGGGUGUUCGGCAACACUGGGACUGAGACACGGCCCAGACUCCUACGGGAGGGAGCCGUAAGGACUCUUUGGCAAUGUGGUGAAGCCUGACCGUGCAACGCCGCGUGAGUAAAGAAGGUUUUCGGAUCAUAAUGCUCUGUUGUUAAGGAAGCGGUACUUAACCAGAAAGGGACGGCUAACUACGUGCCGGCCACCGCGGUAAUUC